GGAAGGGUCAAAGGUUGGAUAUGUCACCACUGUGAGUCAAAGGUCCAGAAAGGGAAGCUGUAUGGGUGAGGUUUGUGUUUAACCAGCAUUGAGUUUAAAAUUUGUUCAGUCUUUACCACAUCUAUCAUAAUUUCUCAGCAGCUAAAUAAAUGAUGUGGUGCAUGGUCCCCGUCAACCCAUGUACAACACAAAAAGGUCUGAGCCAUGAAAAUUCUGAGACCUUAAUAGGAAGGAAUUUCAUAUAUGUCAUUCUACAUUCUGUUUUUAUUACAAUUGUUGCUAUGUAAUCAGGUUUGUGUCGACUCUAUGCUCUCACAUUCAUAUUAGAAACAUUCUUAUUAGAUUUUAUCAGGGAAAAUGAGUGCUCAUGAUGUGAAUGUUUCACGUUAAGGAAAAGAAUUUUCACAUUCUCCUGCCGCUGUAGCUUCUAUCACUGUUCCUGUUCCAGUGAGCUACUCUUUCAUUUCCUAUUUCCUUGAAUCAGCACCAGCAACCAGAAUGGAGUUUUCAGGAAGACAUAAGAGCUGCAGAGGAAGACAGAACACACCCUACUGUGUGACUUGGCAGGACAGGAAGGGGAGUUCUUACCUGGUCUCUGCUGAAAGUAACCAUACACUGAACUGAAGUGGACCACUGCCCAUCAUGCUCCUGCCCCAGCUCCACUUUCCAGCCACUCACUGUGAAAAGGACACUCCAAGGAUCAUCUUCCCACCAGGUCCACGGGUCUUUUCUUCCCAGGUGUUCCAGGAAGUACCUCAACAUCCAGGUACUUUUCAUGUUGAGCUGUUCUUGUCUGAUUCUUGUCUGUUUCACACACUGGACUAUUAGCUCUUUAUCAGGAACUGUAUCUAAUUUGCCUUUGUAGUCCCUCUGUUCAGCAGAGGGCCUGACACAUGCACACAUAUAAAUGUCUUUUGAAUGAAUAAAUGAAUAAGUUAGAUUUUAAA